AACGGGUGAGUAAUGCAUCGGAAUGUACCGUGUAAUGGGGGAUAGCUCGGCGAAAGCCGGAUUAAUACCGCAUACGCCCUGAGGGGGAAAGCGGGGGACCGAAAGGCCUCGCGUUAUACGAGCAGCCGAUGUCUGAUUAGCUAGUUGGUGAGGUAAGAGCUCACCAAGGCGACGAUCAGUAGCGGGUCUGAGAGGAUGAUCCGCCACACUGGGACUGAGACACGGCCCAGACUCCUACGGGAGGCAGCAGUGGGGAAUUUUGGACAAUGGGCGCAAGCCUGAUCCAGCCAUGCCGCGUGUCUGAAGAAGGCCUUCGGGUUGUAAAGGACUUUUGUUCGGGAGGAAAUCCCGCUGGUUAAUACCUGGCGGGGAUGACAGUACCGGAAGAAUAAGCACCGGCUAACUACGUGCCAGCAGCCGCGGUAAUACGUAGGGUGCAAGCGUUAAUCGGAAUUACUGGGCGUAAAGCGUGCGCAGGCGGUUGUGCAAGUCUGAUGUGAAAGCCCCGGGCUCAACCUGGGAACGGCAUUGGAGACUGCACGACUAGAGUG
rnacentral:rRNA from 1 species